AUUGAACGCUGGCGGCAUGCUUUACACAUGCAAGUCGAACGGUAACAGGCCUUCGGGUGCUGACGAGUGGCGAACGGGUGAGUAAUGCAUCGGAACGUGCCCAGAGGUGGGGGAUAACGCAGCGAAAGCUGUGCUAAUACCGCAUGUGAUCUGAGGAUGAAAGCGGGGGACCAGGCAGCAAUGCUUGGCCUCGCGCCUUUGGAGCGGCCGAUGUCAGAUUAGGUAGUUGGUGGGGUAAAGGCCUACCAAGCCGACGAUCUGUAGCUGGUCUGAGAGGAAGACCAGCCACACUGGGACUGAGACACGGCCCAGACUCCUACGGGAGGCAGCAGUGGGGAAUGUUGGACAAUGGGCGCAAGCCUGAUCCAGCAAUGCCGCGUGCGGGAAGAAGGCCUUCGGGUUGUAAAACGCUUUUGUACGGAACGAAAAGGCUCUGGCUAAUACCUGGGGCUGAUGACGGUACCGGAAGAAUAAGCACCGGCUAACUACGUG
rnacentral:rRNA from 1 species